UUAAAUUGAAGGGUUUGAUCAUGGCUCAGAUUGAACGCUGGCGGCAGGCCUAACACAUGCAAGUCGAACGGUAACAG
rnacentral:rRNA from 1 species